rnacentral:rRNA from 1 species
UACGUAGGGUGCAAGCGUUGUCCGGAAUUAUUGGGCGUAAAGAGCUCGUAGGCGGUUUGUCGCGUCUGCUGUGAAAACCUGGGGCUCAACUCCGGGCCUGCAGCCGAUACGGGCAGACUAGAGUUCGGCAGGGGAGACUGGAAUUCCUGGUGUAGCGGUGAAAUGCGCAGAUAUCAGGAGGAACACCGGUGGCGAAGGCGGGUCUCUGGGCCGAAACUGACGCUGAGGAGCGAAAGCGUGGGGAGCAAACAGG